CCUACGGGAGGCAGCAGUGGGGAAUAUUGGGCAAUGGGCGAAAGCCUGACCCAGCAAAGCCGCGUGAAGGAAGAAGGCUCUCGGGUUGUAAACCUCUUUUGACAGGGAAGAGCAGAAGACGGUACCUGUCGAAUAAGCCACGGCUAACUACGUGCCAGCAGCCGCGGUAAUACGGAGGAUGCGAGCGUUAUCCGGAUUUAUUGGGUUUAAAGGGUGCGUAGGCGGUCCGUUAAGUCAGCGGUAAAAUUGCGGGGCGCAACCCCGUCGAGCCGUUGAAACUGGCAGACUUGAGUUGGCGAGAAGUACGCGGAAUGCGCGGUGUAGCGGUGAAAUGCAUAGAUAUCGCGCAGAACUCCGAUUGCGAAGGCAGCGUACCGGCGCCAGACUGACGCUGAGGCACGAAAGCGUGGGGAUCGAACAGGAUUAGAUACCCUUGUAGUC
rnacentral:rRNA from 1 species